GCAGAACCACCUCUCUGGACCUGCUAGCAACGCAUCUUUUGAUGCAGCCCAGGAUGUGAUUGGCCUCCUGGGCUGCAACCGCACACUGCCUGCUCAUGUCCAGCUUCUCGAUGGCCCCCUUUGCUUCCCCUCACACCCCCCAGCCCCAGCAGGAUGAUAUGAAGAACCUUUGCCCCCUCUCCUCCUUGGAGCCCUGGCCCAGUCCAGCAGUGGAGCCCCUCAGCCAGGACCCCCCCACAGGAGCAAGGGCACAGAGACCCAUGUAUGUGCAGCUGCCCCCCAUAACCCCCCCAGCCAUGGAGAUGCACAAGAAGCAGCGCUUCCAGGACCUUGUCCGCACUUUCAAAGCCUGGAAAAAGAAAAUGGCUCAGCGUGCAAACCCACCGACAGGGAGCGUGGCCAGGGGGCCCCAGGGCUGUGCCUGGCAGGACGGUGCCUGCAGCGGGGCUGCGCCCGGCUGUGGGGUGCUGUGGGGGCUGCAGUGUGGGGCCGGGAGCUGCUCCCGUCUCACCCAGCUCCUCGGGGUCCUUGCAGAGCUGCUGUACGAAGUCUAAGGGAGAAACAAGGGAGGCGAGUGCUGUGUUGGAGGAGCAGAAUGUCUCUCGGGUGGCAGAGGAAGGAACAGGAAAAAAGUGCUCUCUGGAGAAGCAGCCAAGUGUGGAGGUGUCGAUGGGGGACUGCCUGGCCCCACUGGACUCUGUGCCCUCCCAACCCCCCCGGGACCCCCGGAUGCCCCGCUCCAUUCUACGCAAUAAGGCAGAGGAGCAGUUGUCCCCCGGCAACCCCCCACAGAGGAGGAAACAGAAGAGGGUGCGCUUCCUGGAAGACAAUCCCACCUUCUUGUCCAUCGAGUGGUGGAAUAAGAAACAGAGGAAGAGGAGGUGGGAGAAAAAACGGCAGGAGAUGAAGAAGGCA